UAUGGUGAUGAUACAAAUUUUGUUGCUCGAAGAUUAACAUCAAUGUGGGCGCAAUGAUUUCUCAAUAGACUACAACGGUAUCUGAAU
rnacentral:snoRNA from 1 species